rnacentral:rRNA from 1 species
AUACGGAGGAUGCGAGCGUUAUCCGGAUUUAUUGGGUUUAAAGGGUGCGUAGGCGGAUGAUUAAGCGUGAGGUGAAAUGCCACUGCUCAACAGUGGAACUGCCUCGCGAACUGGUUGUCUUGAAUGCUCCUGCCGUGGGAGGAAUGUGUGGUGUAGCGGUGAAAUGCAUAGAGAUCACACAGAACACCGAUUGCGAAGGCAUCUCACGAAGGGGUGAUUGACGCUGAGGCACGAAAGCGUGGGGAUCAAACAGGAUUAGAUACCCUGGUAGUCCACGCAGUAAACGAUGAUAACUAACCGCUGGGUCGUAGUGAUUCAGUGGCCAAGCGAAAGCGAUAAGUUAUCCACCUGGGGAGUACGACCGCAAGGUUGAAACUCAAAGGAAUUGACGGGG